AGCAUUCAAUCAAAGAAAUGACUGACGGAUGGAAACGCUGUCUUUUGCAUCAGCAGUGGGCUACCUUUCUAGCAGCCAUAUUGCUAUGCCUUAUACCAAUGCUCCUUUUUAUUAAGUUUGUAAAGCCCAGGAAUCGAUACAUAAACUAUGAUGACAGUUCGUUGAUGUAUCCAUAUGAAGAGAAAGAUUUAUUUCCUGAAUGGUCCUUUGGAUUCACUUUUCUUUUAGUAGCUCUCGUUAUUAUUAGUACGGAAUUGGUGAAGCUUAAGCGACUUAACACUUGUUACAAAAAGGCAU